AAGACCUUGCGCUUUUGGAGUGGCCGAUGCCUGAUUAGCUUGUUGGUAAGGUAAAAGCUUACCAAGGCUUCGGUCAGUAGCUGGUCUGAGAGGACGACCAGCCACACUGGGACUGAGACACGGCCCAGACUCCUACGGGAGGCAGCAGUGGGGAAUUUUGGACAAUGGGGGCAACCCUGAUCCAGCCAUGCCGCGUGAGUGAAGAAGGCCUUCGGGUUGUAAAGCUCUUUCAGCCGGAACGAAACGGUUACGGAUAACACCCGUGACUACUGACGGUACCGGAAGAAGAAGCACCGGCUAACUACGUGCCAGCAGCCGCGGUAAUACGUAGGGUGCGAGCGUUAAUCGGAAUUACUGGGCGUAAAGCGUGCGCAGGUGGUUUUGUAAGUCAGAUGUGAAAGCCCCGGGCUCAACCUGGGAACU
rnacentral:rRNA from 1 species